rnacentral:rRNA from 1 species
UACGAAGGGGGCUAGCGUUGCUCGGAAUCACUGGGCGUAAAGCGCACGUAGGCGGACUCUUAAGUCGGUGGUGAAAUCCUGGAGCUCAACUCCAGAACUGCCUUCGAUACUGGGAGUCUCGAGUUCGGGAGAGGUGAGUGGAACUGCGAGUGUAGAGGUGAAAUUCGUAGAUAUCGAGAGGAACACCUGUGGCGAAGGCGGGUCUCUGGACAGUUCCUGACGCUG